CGCGGGGUGGAGCAGCCUGGUAGCUCGUCGGGCUCAUAACCCGAAGGUCGUCGGUUCAAAUCCGGCCCCCGCAACCU
rnacentral:tRNA from 6 species